UACGAGAGGCCCAAACGUUAUUCGGAAUUACUGGGCUUAAAGAGUUCGUAGGCGGCGCAGAAAGUAGGGUGUGAAAGCCCUCGGCUCAACCGAGGAAUUGCGCUCUAAACUACUGUGCUUGAGGAAGCUAGAGGUGAGCAGAACAGAUGGUGGAGCGGUGAAAUGCGUUGAUAUCAUCUGGAAUACCGGAGGCGAAGGCAGCUCACUGGGGCUUUUCUGACGCUGAGGAACGAAAGCCAGGGUAGCGAACGGG
rnacentral:rRNA from 1 species